AACUUUCAACAACGGAUCUCUUGGUUCUCGCAUCGAUGAAGAACGCAGCGAAAUGCGAUACGUAAUGUGAAUUGCAGAAUUUUGUGAAUCAUCGAAUCUUUGAACGCACAUUGCGCCUUUUGGUACUCCAGGAGGCAUGCCUGUUUGAGCGUCAUUU
rnacentral:rRNA from 1 species